UGGGAAUAACGGCUGGAAACGGUCGCUAAUACCGAAUACGCUCCGAUUUCAACUUCGGGGGAAAGGUGGCCUCUGCUUGCAAGCUACUGCUCAUGGAUGAGUCCGCGUCCCAUUAGCUAGUUGGUGGGGUAACGGCCCACCAAGGCGACGAUGGGUAGCCGGUCUGAGAGGAUGACCGGCCACACUGGGACUGGAACACGGCCCAGACUCCUACGGGAGGCAGCAGUGGGGAAUAUUGCGCAAUGGGCGAAAGCCUGACGCAGCGACGCCGCGUGAGGGAUGAAGGUCCUCGGAUCGUAAACCUCUGUCAGGAGGGAAGAACCGCCACGGUGCUAAUCAGCCGUGGUCUGACGGUACCUCCAAAGGAAGCACCGGCUAACUCCGUGCCAGCAGCCGCGGUAAUACGGAGGGUGCGAGCGUUAAUCGGAAUCACUGGGCGUAAAGCGCACGUAGGCUGCUUGGUAAGUCAGGGGUGAAAGCCCGCGGCUCAACCGCGGAAUUGCCUUUGAUACUGCCGAGCUAGAGUCCGGGAGAGGGUAGUGGAAUUCCAGGUGUAGGAGUGAAAUCCGUAGAGAUCUGGAGGAACAUCAGUGGCGAAGGCGACUACCUGGACCGGUACUGACGCUGAGGUGCGAAAG
rnacentral:rRNA from 1 species